AUGCGCUCUUUCACAGGCACAGGGAAGAUUCGCUGUUCCGCGGCACCGGGGAGGACUCCGAGGACAAACCCAGGCUGUGCUGGUGCCGGGGCCGGCGGAGCGCGGCGCGGAGUAGACGAUCUUGGUGGGCGCGUACUUCUUGUCGCGCGGCGGGCAGGAGCAGCAGAGCAGCGCGCCCCCCAGCAGCUGCAGAGCCGCGGCCGCCCAGCCCACGUACAGGCCCGCGCCCAUCUCCCGCUUCUGCGCGUCCGGCACCAGCGGGUUGUAGAAGUCCCGGAUGAUGGUGUUGGCCGACCAGGACACCGGCACCAGGGUGAGCAAGGCGGCCAGCAGGAAGAGCACUCCCGCCACGAUGGUGAUCUUGGCCUUGGCCGUGUCGUCCUGCACGCAGUUGGUGCACUGGGCGCCCACGAGUGCCACGAGGAGCCCGAAGGCGGCCAGCAGGAUGGACACGACGAUGAGGGCGCGGGCCGCCUGCAGGUCCUGCGGCAGCGCCAGCAGCGAGUCGUACACCUUGCACUGCAUCUGGCCGGUGCUCUGCACCACGCAGUUCAUCCACAGGCCCUCCCAGGUGAUCUGCGCCGUGAUGAUGCUGCUGCCGAUGAAGGCCGUCACGCGCCACAUGGGCAGCGCGCAGCACACGAUGGUGCUCAGCCAGCCCAGCACGGCCAGCGACGUGCCCGCGAUCUCCAGGCCCAUGGACAUGGCUGCCGCGCCAAAGCCGGCUCUGCCCGGCGGCUCAGGGUGCGGGGCGACGAGGGGCCGUGGCCGCUGGGCCUGGGCGGGAGCUGCCGCGCGCCGGCCGACCGAUGCCUCGACGGACGGACGGAAGGACGGAGGCACCGACGGCGCGCGCUAACGGCUCCGUUCUGCCCGCUGGCGCCGGGGCAGCGCCUGCACCUGCCUGUGCUUUGCGGGCGGGCGGCGGCGACUGGGCUGGCCCGGGGCUGGGGCCGGUGUUUCUUAGAUCCGAGCCCAGCGCUGCGGCGGGGGCGGGAGGGGCGGAGCCGCGUUUCCCGGCCUGGGGACAGUGACGUGGCCCCUCUUCCCACCUUUACCGAGAGCCCGGAGCCCAGGGAGGAAGGGCUGGGCGGGGAGGGGGGGCCGGGGGGCGGGGCCGGGGCUGUUUCCGGAGUGGGCGGCCGCCCCCGGGGCUGCGCACCUGCUCCUCGGUCCCUCCGGCCUGGGCCGCGGCGGCAGCAGCACUAGCUGGCGCCCAGUUCGGACUUGAUGCGGGCCCUGGAGGUCUGCGCCCAAAAGCCAGGGGCCCGCCUCUCCCCCACAAGGGCACCGGGAAGAUGCCCCAAAGCAGUGCUCAACUCAAAUUCACUUCCAGCCCUCCUGCAGCUCCCUCAGGUCUUACUCCUCGGUUGAUCCUGGGUAACUUGAGCAGAGCUGCAUUCCCCUCCCAGAAGUCCCUCCUCCUCGCUGAUUCCCCUCCUGCAGAGCUUUGUCUUCCCUCCCUCUGGGCCAGAGUGAGUGCUGUGAUCCACCUGAAUGAAGGGGUGGUGAAAGGUUUGAUCUAGACAAAAGUGGAAAAUCCGAGAUAUUACUUGCAGUGCCCUUGCUCCUAUUAACUUUAAAAGUAAAACUGCCAGUUAUUUUACCAGCAAAAAUGAGUUUAUUCGAGAAAAGAGAAUCGCAACCCAAGAUGAGCAAACUUGCAGCAAAACCGCAGUCAAAUCCAACAAACAAAGGAGAGGAACAUUAUUUUAUGGAGAAGGAGGAAGUAGAGAGGGCUUGUUUUGAACAAAAGUCCAUUAAAGGGGUGCUUGGGUGGUUCAGUUGGUUAAGUGUCUGUCUUGGGCUCAGGUCAUGGUUCCAGGGUCCUGGGAUUUAGAUCCCCCCCCCCCAAGCUCCCUGCUCAGCCUGCUUUUCCCUCUCCCCCCUGCCCGUGCUCUCUCUCUCUCAAAUAAAUAAAAUAUAUUUUUUAAAAGUCCGUUAAAGAGAAGCAAGUGUUCAGGGUAAUGAUGAUUUCUCAUUGGCUGAGUGACAGGGGUGGUCGAUUUUUUUUAUAGAAGAUGUAAUAUGUACAUCUUACCUUUUGGGGACCUAUAACUGAUGAUUCCGCCUUGUUGGGAUUCUUCUGUUGGGGUCUGUAAUUGACAAUUCUUCCUGUAAUUGAUAUGGAGCAGUAGGCUCCCCAACCAGCCUCCCUUUCCAGCAUCCCAGGUACAAUCCAGUGCGGUUUCUCUUCAUUAACUUUCACAUUUCCUUCUUUUAGAUCAAGAUCUUUCUUUGAAAGCAUCAGUGAUCAAGAGUCAGGUGUUUUGUACAAAGUGGCUUUGUCCCUCCAUGCCUGGAAGGACCUUUUCUGGUUGUCAUGUCCCACAUUGGAAGGAAGAUGCAUAGCAGUUGGAAACCACUUAGGGCCACAUAUGAGUAACAAGGAGAGUAAGGAGGGGGAGCUCUCAGGUACUUCCCAUCUGAAAUCUGUAUCUUCUCAAGGUUAUGAGCAUUGGAGGUCAUCUUGAAGGGGUGAGCCAGCAUCACCCUGUCGGAUACAUUGUUUUUAUGAAAGAUUGACAGGCAACAAGUACAAAAUCAAAAGUAACACGACUAUUUCAAACUAUAUGUUGGUUCUACAUUGGGACCCUAGAUCUGAAGGUAGCCAACUUAACAUGUUUGUUGUCACUCGUUCCAAUUUAGGGAAGAAAAGUUUCUCCCUAUGAAGGCAAACCUGGACCAUGGAUGCCUCUGGGAAGUCACUGCUUACAGCAGCCAUGAAAGCAGAAUAGUAAAUACUAUAAAAGCAUUAUAUUGGAAAGAACCAAUCAAGUGCAUUGGGAAGAUACAGUGCAGGUAUCAACACGAAGCAAUAUCUAAUGUCUUUGCAGAGCAGCAACACAUCAGGGAC
rnacentral:lncRNA from 1 species